UGGGAGGCUGACGGCCUAUUGUAUUCUGCACAAUAAUGUUUACAAUAUUCUCAAUCAAAGUGGUUAAGAAUGCCUCAGGAUAUGUUAACAAUACAUAAUCAUGUAAUCAUUGGGUUAAUGAAACCUGUAGUCCUAGGUGUGCCCUAGUUUAUCUGGCUGGGGUGGGCAGGAGGACCACAUCAGGCAUCUUUUAUUGUAGUCUACCACCUAUUUGAAUGAUUCCCUGAAACCUAUACCCAGAGAAUCCAAUUUCGUUGGUAAUGUCUUCAUACAUUCUUCCCUUUAAAAGGACUCAAAAAAUAAUACACAAGCAAAUAAAUCACAAGCAUUUGUUUUCAGCUAAGUGACUGGCGGUUUACAUCAUAAGGAUAAUAUCUAUUCAAAAUGACUCCGCACUGACAUUAAGGAAAAACUGGAUAGAUGAUUGUGUCGCUAAAUUGAUUCGAUGACUCACACAGUGGUCAUCUGUGGUUUCUCUGUCGAUAAUCUGGAUUUCUCUCCUCAGUAGCCUAUCACCUCUACCCCAGCCUCUCUCUCUCUCUCUCUCUCUCUCUCUCUCCGCCCCAAAACCGAGAGCUAGCUAUUGGCUUGCGAGGUUUAAUUAUUUCACUCUCUCUCACAGGCUGCCCGACCACUGAAACACACACAUCUAUCCAUCUCAUUGUCUGCUCUGCGAACCAGAUAUGCCGCCACUGUUAGCUUUCCUCGGCUGAGGUGGCGACAGACUGGCCCUGUCUAAACGUCAUCAGUGCGGGGUAACCUGUUACUGGUGACAAGGUCAACGAUUGCAAAUGCUCAAGUUCCGCGCGCAGAAUCCCCGGGUCAGAUAGGAAGGAAGAAAACCGGCGCAGUGAUGGGACAGUUUUCGGGAGGAUGCUACCUGAGUUUGGGCAUCGUUGUGUUUCUCUGUUUGCAGUUCCCGACUACCUUGGCCCGAGCGAGACUAUUCAAGCCAUUGACUCACUGAUGAAUGAAGAUGACGAGCGAUCAGCAAAGGCAAUCUGUAAUUUGCUGCCAUCACGGCACGAAAUCAACAUCGCUCUAAUUACAGUAAGAAGACAGUUGAAGAAACUUGGGUGGACUUACGGAAAGGCUUGGCCUAGGCAUGGAUCAAAGCUGGCGAGACAUUCAAUAACGUCAUAUUCACAGACUAAUCAACCGUGGCCCUUGAGCAAUUUGCUAAAAAAAAAAUUAAGACGACCAAGCAAGUAUCCACUCAAACUCCAUGUGUGGGGGGCAAUUUUUUGCCAGGGAACAGGCCCAUAUUUGAUUUUUCAUGGAAUCAAGGCUCGAGAUUUGUUUGAGGAAGAAAUCAUUGAGAUAUGCUGGACCCUAUGUCAGAGAGGUGUUUCUGGGUACACAUCGUUUCUUUCAAGAUGCAGACAAUGA
rnacentral:lncRNA from 13 species